UACGGGAGGCAGCAGUGGGGGAUAUGGACAAUGGGGAAACCUGAUCCAGCGAUGCCGCGUGAGGGAAGAAGUUUUCGGAUUGUAAACCUCUGUGGAGGGGGACGAUAAUGACGGUACCCUCAAGGAAGCCACGGCUAACUACGUGCCAGCAGCCGCGGUAAUACGUAGGUGGCGAGCGUUGUCCGGGAAUUACUGGGUGUAAAGGGAGUGUAGGCGGGAAAGCAAGUCAGAAGUGAAAACUAUGGGCUCAACCCAUAGCGUGCUUUUGAAACUGUUUUUCUUGAGUGAGGCAGAGGCAAGCGGAAUUCCAAGUGUAGCGGUGAAAUGCGUAGAUAUUUGGAGGAACACCAGUGGCGAAGGCGGCUUGCUGGGCCUUUACUGACGCUGAGGCUCGAAAGCGUGGGGAGCAAACAGGAUUAGAUACCCUGGUAGUCCACGCCGUAAACGAUGAUAGCUAGGUGUGGGGAGCGAACCUUUCCGUGCCGGAGUAAACACAAUAAGUUAUCCACCUGGGGAGUACGGCCGCAAGGCUGAAACUCAAAGGAAUUGACGGGGGCCCGCACAAGCAGUGGAGUAUGUGGUUUAAUUCGAAGCAACGCGAAGAACCUUACCGGGUCUUGACAUCGAGUGAAAGGCUAAGAGAUUAGUCCCUCUCUUCGGAGACACGAAGACAGGUGGCGCAUGGUUGUCGUCAGCUCGUGUCGUGAGAUGUUGGGUUAAGUCCCGCAACGAGCGCAACCCUUAUCAUUAGUUGCUACGCAAGAGCACUCUAAUGAGACUGCCGUUGACAAAACGGAGGAAGGUGGGGAUGACGUCAAAUCAUCAUGCCCUUUAUGACCCGGGCUACACACGUACUACAAUGGCGUUUAACAAAGAGAAGCGAAACUGCGAAGUGGAGCAAAACUCAAAAAAACGUCUCAGUUCAGAUUGCAGGCUGCAACUCGCCUGCAUGAAGUCGGAAUUGCUAGUAAUCGUAGGUCAGCAUACUACGGUGAAUACGUUCCCGGGCCUUGUACACACCGCCCGUCAAACCAUGAGAGUUGGCAACACCCGAAGUCGGUAGUCUAACCGCAAGGAGGACG
rnacentral:rRNA from 1 species